ACACCGGCAGCUCUAGUGGUAACAAUUUUUAUUGGGCCUAAAGCGUCCGUAGCCGGUUUAAUAAGUCUCUGGUGAAAUCCUGUAGCUUAACUGUGGGAAUUGCUGGAGAUACUAUUAGACUUGAGAUCGGGAGAGGUUAGAGGUACUCCCAGGGUAGAGGUGAAAUUCUGUAAUCCUGGGAGGACCGCCUGUUGCGAAGGCGUCUAACUGGAACGAUUCUGACGGUGAGGGACGAAAGUUAGGGGCGCGAACCGGAUUGGAUACCCGGGUAGUCCUAACUGUAAACGAUGCGGACUUGGUGUUGGGGUGGCUUUGAGCUGCUCCAGUGCCGAAGGGAAGCUGUUAAGUCCGCCGCCUGGGAAGUACGGUCGCAAGACUGAAACUUAAAGGAAUUGGCGGGG
rnacentral:rRNA from 1 species